GACGAACGCUGGCGGCGUGCUUGACACAUGCAAGUCGAACGGAAAGGCCUGCUUUUCCUUGUGGAUUGCGGGUACUCGAGUGGCGAACGGGUGAGUAACACGUGAGUGAUCUGUUCCCAACUUGGGUAUAAGCUUGGGAUACUGGGUCUAAUUCCCGAUAGGACCGUAGGGUGGUGUCUGAGGUGGAAAACGUUGGUCUAGUGGUUGGGGAUGAGCUCGCGGCCUAUCAGCUUGUUGGUGGGGUAAUGGCUUACCAAGGCGGCGACGGGUAGGCGGCCUGGGGUGGCGGACGGCAGAAGUGGAACUGAGAUACGGCCCAGACUCCAACGGGAGGCAGCAGUCGGGAGUAAGGCGCAGUGAGCGGAAGCCUGAGGCAGCGACGCCGCGUGGGGAAUGACGGCCUUCGGAUGGUAGACUCCUGUCUGCCGCGAGGAAUCGACCUGGUUGAAGGGGUGGUGACGGUAGUGGGAGAAGAAGCACCGGCUAACUACGUG
rnacentral:rRNA from 1 species